UGUUGUUUCCAUAUGUGGGUCAUUGGGGCGUUUCUGAACGCAAAUGGCCUCAUCGUGAAUAAGCAUGGUCGUUAAGAACAGGUGGGAUUCAUCAAGAUUGAUUACUUACUGAUUGGCUUGCGCAGGUUUGAUAAAGGAUGAUUUUAUUUGUACUUAGGCACACACUAAAUUUCAUUCAUAAAAC